AUGCGGCAACUUCGGCUCGUUACCAACAUGAGGGCUCAUAAUGACACUUGGUUUGCAGAUUACUUGCUUAGGGUCGGCAAGGGCACUAAGGAUGUCGACGAUCAAGGCAACAUACUACUCCCUAAAGACAUUGGUCUGCCUUCUACAGGCGAGGUUGACGACUUGGAGAAGCUUAUUGACCACGUGUUUCCGAGUCUAGAUGACAACAUGUCUGAUUCGAAUUACAUGACAUGUCGCACAAUCCUUUCCACCACAAACGACAAUGUCGACAAGAUAAACAUCCGGAUGAUAGAG
rnacentral:rRNA from 1 species